GACAGAGGGUGCAAACGUUGUUCGGAAUUACUGGGCGUAAAGGGCGCGUAGGCGGCCUGCUAAGUCGAACGUGAAAUCCCUGGGCUCAACCCAGGAACUGCGUCCGAUACUGGUUGGCUUGAAUCCGGGAGAGGGAUGCGGAAUUCCAGGUGUAGCGGUGAAAUGCGUAGAUAUCUGGAGGAACACCGGUGGCGAAGGCGGCUCACUGGAGCCGUCACUGACGCUGAGGUGGCGAAAGCUAGAGUAGCAAACGGG
rnacentral:rRNA from 1 species